rnacentral:rRNA from 1 species
GCGGUAAUACGAAGGGGGCUAGCGUUGUUCGGAUUUACUGGGCGUAAAGCGCACGUAGGCGGACUUUUAAGUCAGGGGUGAAAUCCCGGGGCUCAACCCCGGAACUGCCUUUGAUACUGGAAGUCUUGAGUAUGGUAGAGGUGAGUGGAAUUCCGAGUGUAGAGGUGAAAUUCGUAGAUAUUCGGAGGAACACCAGUGGCGAAGGCGGCUCACUGGACCAUUACUGACGCUGAGGUGCGAAAGCGUGGGGAGCAAACAGGAUUA